rnacentral:rRNA from 1 species
AGCGAACGCUGGCGGCAGGCCUAACACAUGCAAGUCGAACGAACUCUUCGGAGUUAGUGGCGGACGGGUGAGUAACACGUGGGAACGUGCCUUUUGGUUCGGAAUAACUCAGGGAAACUUGUGCUAAUACCGAAUGUGCCCUUCGGGGGAAAGAUUUAUCGCCAUUAGAGCGGCCCGCGUCUGAUUAGCUAGUUGGUGAGGUAACGGCUCACCAAGGCGACGAUCAGUAGCUGGUCUGAGAGGAUGACCAGCCACACUGGGACUGAGACACGGCCCAGACUCCUACGGGAGGCAGCAGUGGGGAAUCUUGCGCAAUGGGCGAAAGCUUGACGCAGCCAUGCCGCGUGAAUGAUGAAGGUCUUAGGAUUGUAAAAUUCUUUCACCGGGGACGAUAAUGACGGUACCCGGAGAAGAAGCCCCGGCUAACUUCGUG